UAAUACACAAAGUUGACUAAGUGCAGAGAAGCGACAAAGAACAAGUCCCUCUCAGAACACAGCAUGGACGAAGUAUGCACCAAAGUGCUGGUGUUCCUCUUUAUCGUAGGUAACGUUAAUAAUUAGCAUAUCCUUUCAUAAAUUACGCACACUGAUCAUUGAUUUUGUUGAGGUUUUGGAUGUUGAAAUGAUGGAUACCGAUGUAGGUUUGGCGAUGACUUCAACGGUGCCGAUCGGAACGGGAGCAUUGAGCAUCGUUUGCAAGAAGGAUACUGAUUGCCAGAACAUGUCAGUUCGAUUGUGGCUGCCAUGUCAAACGGGGCAACUCCUGUGUAAUUAUAGGCCCAGAAUCCAGUACCAGAAGUAUUGCCAGUGUAUCAACUGGGGGGAUGGACAUAGACGAGUGUUAUCCAAGAAUGAAUAGAUGCAAAAACAAAAACUAAUCUUUUUAUCUUAUUGUUUUAGUGGAGAACGUUAUGAACAAUGGAAGACUAAUAAGAUUUGAUUUUUGUUGACCCA
rnacentral:lncRNA from 1 species